rnacentral:rRNA from 1 species
CCUACGGGUGACAGCAGUGAGGAAUAUUUGUCAAUGGGCGCGAGCCUGAACCAGCCAAGUAGCGUGAAGGAUGACUGCCCUACGGGUUGUAAACUUCUUUUAUAAAGGAAUCAAUUGAGGCACGUGUACCUUUUUUUAUGUACUUUAUGAAUAAGGAUCGACUAACUCCGUUCCUGCAGCCGCGGUAAUCCUGAGGACCCGAGCUUUGUCCUGAUUUAUUGGGUUUAAAGGGAGCGUAGAUGGGUUGUUAAGUCAGUUGUGAAAGUUUGCGGCUCAACCGUAAAAUUGCAAUUGAUACUGGGAGUAUUGAGUACAGGUGAGGUAGGCGGAAUGCGUGGUGUAGCGGUGAAAUGCUUAGAUAUCACGAGGAACACAGAUUGCGAAGGCAGCUUACUAAACAGCAACUGACAUUGAUGCUCGAAAGUGUGGGUAGCAAACAGGAUUAGAUACCCCAGUAGUC